CUCUUCCUCAGUGAUGUUUCUUGUCAGAGGCUCUGCUGACAGGUCUGUAAUAAGGCAAAUGGGGGAGCAAAUGAAAUAAAAGCUCCUACCUUAGCUAGAAAAUCUCUUCCCAUUAGGGGCACAGAGCAGGCUGGCACAACUGAAAAUGUAUGGGUGAGAGGGAUACCCCUGAAAAUACAAUUAAGU